AGAGUCAGAGUACGUGAAACCGUUUAAGGGUAAACCUGAGAAACCCGAAAGUCGAAGGAGAAAUCAUUCGCGUCUCGACGCAGGCGUCGGACGGGGUCAGAGCGACGGAACGGGCGCGCGUUUUUCUUCGGAAUCGCGCGUUCGAUUUUGCGCCCUCCGUCCUUCGAACCGGCUGCGAACGCGUGCACUUUUCUCCUGGUAGGACGUCGCGAUCCGUCGGGCGUCGGUCUACGACUUGCGGCGGAGACCGUCCGUCGUUCUCACGAACGUACGGCGCGGACCCGCUCGUUCCGGCCGACUCGCUCGACGGUAAGCUCGAGGUCUGGGGUCGCUACGAUAUAUCUAUACCGUAGAGCGUUCGACUCGUCGCAAGCGCGUCACGUGCGUCGGCACGCGGACCCGGUGCCGCGUCCGAUCUCUGGYKACUGUUGGGCGACGAAGUUCUCGGACAGACUUCCAUAAAAAAGGGGGGCGGGGAGGAGAAGAAGGGGGUUCGCGCUUCCUUCUCGCUCUCUCUCCGUCUCUCGGAGACCGAUCGGCGACGCUAUAGCUUUGGGUACUUUCAGGACCCGUCUUGAAACACGGACCAAGGAGUCUAGCAUGUACGCGAGUCAUUGGGAUUUUUACUAAACCUAAAGGCGCAAUGAAAGUGAAGGUUUUCCUCGCGAAGACCGUGGGAAGACGGACGGGCGGGCGCGCGGCGCGUACCUAGGUGCGCGUCGCGGUACCGAAACGAUCGCCCGUCCCGCAUUCCCGGGGCGUCUCGUUCGCAUCGCGCGAAGAGGCGCACCGCGAGCGUACACGCUGGGACCCGAAAGAUGGUGAACUAUGCCUGGUCAGGACGAAGUCAGGGGAAACCCUGAUGGAGGUCCGUAGCGAUU
rnacentral:rRNA from 1 species